UAAGACGGAGGGUGCAAGCGUUGUUCGGAUUGACUGGGCGUAAAGGGCGUGUAGGCGGUUUGUCAAGUCGGGUGUGAAAGCCUGGGGCUCAGCCCCAGAAGUGCAUCCGAAACUAGCGAGCUAGAGCGCGAUAGAGGAGGGUGGAAUUCCUGGUGUAGCGGUGAAAUGCGUAGAUAUCAGGAGGAACACCGGCGGCGAAGGCGGCCCUCUGGAUCGUUGCUGACGCUGAGACGCGAAAGCGUGGGGAGCAAACAGGAUUAGAUACCCUGGUAGUCCACGCCUUAAACGAUGGGUACUAGGUGUUCGGGGUGUUGACCCCCUGAGUGCCGCAGUUAACGCAUUAAGUACCCCGCCUGGGGACUACGGCCGCAAGGUUA
rnacentral:rRNA from 1 species